rnacentral:rRNA from 1 species
UACGUAGGGAGCAAGCGUUGUCCGGAAUCAUUGGGCGUAAAGAGCGUGUAGGCGGCCCGGUAAGUCCGCUGUGAAAGUCGGGGGCUCAACCCUCGAAAGCCGGUGGAUACUGUCGGGCUAGAGUGCGGAAGAGGCGAGUGGAAUUCCUGGUGUAGCGGUGAAAUGCGCAGAUAUCAGGAGGAACACCAGUGGCGAAGGCGCCACUCUGGGCCGUAACUGACGCUGAGGAAGCGAAGGCGUGGGAGCGACAGG